rnacentral:rRNA from 1 species
UACGAAGGGGGCUAGCGUUGCUCGGAAUCACUGGGCGUAAAGCGCACGUAGGCGGAUUGCUAAGUCAGGGGUGAAAUCCUGGAGCUCAACUCCAGAACUGCCUUUGAUACUGGCGAUCUUGAGUCCGGGAGAGGUGAGUGGAACUGCGAGUGUAGAGGUGAAAUUCGUAGAUAUUCGCAAGAACACCAGUGGCGAAGGCGGCUCUCUGGACUAUAACUGACACUGAGGUGCGAAAGCGUGGGGAGCAAACAGG